rnacentral:rRNA from 1 species
AAAAAGUAGCGAAGCCGGUGAGCUGGCUGUCAGGAAAGCCGCUAUUGUGUACAUUGUACCCGUACCGUAAACCGACACAGGUGGAUGAGGAGAGAAUCCUAAGGCCGACGGAAGAAGCAUUGUUAAGGAACUCGGCAAAACGGCCCCGUAACUUCGGGAUAAGGGGUGCCUACGAAGGUAGGCCGCAGAGAAUUGGCCCAAGCAACUGUUUAGCAAAAACACAGGUCUAUGCGAAACCGUAAGGUGAUGUAUAUGGGCUGACGCCUGCCCGGUGCUGGAAGGUUAAGGGGAGAGGUUAGACAUGAGUCGAAGCCUUGAACUUAAGCCCCAGUAAACGGCGGCCGUAACAAUAACGGUCCUAAGGUAGCGAAAUUCCUUGUCGGGUAAGUUCCGACCCGCACGAAAGGCGUAAUGAUUUGGGCACUGUCUCGACAAUGCAUCCGGUGAAAUUGAAGUACCAGCGAAGAUGCUGGUUACCUGCGCCAGGACGGAAAGACCCCAGGGAGCUUUACUCUAGCUUGAUACUGGGAUUCGAUAUUGCAUGUACAGGAUAGGUGGGAGACUAGGAGACAUGAACGCCAGUUUGUGUGGAGUCGCCCUUGGGAUACCACCCUUGCAGUAUUGGGUUUCUAACAUGCAGCCGUGAUCCGGCUGGUGGACAAUGUCAGGUGGGGAGUUUGACUGGGGCGGUCGCCUCCGAAAGGGUAUCGGAGGCGCUCAAAGGUUCCCUCAGAAUGGUCGGAAACCAUUCGAAGAGUGCAAAGGCAGAAGGGAGCUUGACUGUGACACCGACGGGUGGAGCAGGUACGAAAGUAGGACUUAGUGAUCCGGUGGUAUAAAGUGGGAUUGCCAUCGCCCAACGGAUAAAAGCUACCCUGGGAUAACAGGCUUAUCACUCCCAAGAGUUCACAUCGACGGAGUGGUUUGGCACCUCGAUGUCGGCUCAUCGCAUCCUGGGGCUGUAGUAGGUCCCAAGGGUUGGGCUGUUCGCCCAUUAAAGCGGUACGCGAGCUGGGUUCAGAACGUCGUGAGACAGUUCGGUCCCUAUCCGGCGUGGGCGUAGGAUAUUUGAGAGGAGCUGUCCUUAGUACGAGAGGACCGGGAUGGACUGACCUCUGGUGUACCUGUUGCACUACCAAGUGCAUGGCAGGGUAGCCAAGUCGGGAAGGGAUAAACGCUGAAGGCAUCUAAGCGUGAAGCCCCCCUCAAGAUGAGAUAUCCCAUUCGCAAGAAUUAAGACCCCUUGAAGACGACGAGGUUGAUAGGUCAGAGGUGGAAGUGUGGUAACACAUGUAGCUGACUGAUACUAAUAGGUCGAGGGCUUAUCU